rnacentral:tRNA from 1 species
AGAAGUAGAACUCAGUAGGAGAGUGAUUGCCUUGAAUGCAUUAGACCACGGGUUUGAUCCCUAAUACUGCUC